rnacentral:rRNA from 1 species
UACGUAUGGUGCAAGCGUUAUCCGGAUUUACUGGGUGUAAAGGGAGCGCAGGCGGCACGGCAAGCCUGAUGUGAAAGCCCGCGGCCCAACCGCGGGACUGCAUUGGGAACUACCGGGCUGGAGUGCCGGAGAGGUAGGCGGAAUUCCUAGUGUAGCGGUAAAAUGCGUAGAUAUUAGGAGGAACACCAGUGGCGAAGGCGGCCUACUGGACGGUGACUGACGCUGAGGCUCGAAAGCGUGGGGAGCAAACAGG